GACGAACGCUGGCGGUGUGCUUCACACAUGCAAGUCGAACGGGGUAGCAAUACCCAGUGGCGGACGGGUGAGUAACACGUGGGAAUCUGCCUUUGAGUGGGGAAUAACUGACCGAAAGGUUAGCUAAUACCGCAUAUGCCGAAAGGUAAAAGGAGCAAUUCGCUUGAAGAUGAGCCCGCGUCCGAUUAGCUAGUUGGUAAGGUAAAGGCUUACCAAGGCAACGAUCGGUAGCUGGUCUGAGAGGAUGAUCAGCCACAAUGGAACUGAGACACGGUCC
rnacentral:rRNA from 1 species